rnacentral:lncRNA from 1 species
CAAGAACCCAGCCCCCAUAGUGUGAGGAGGCCUAGGACAGUUACAGAAGCCAUGUGUAGGUGUUCUGGCUCCAGCAAAAGUCUUAUCUGACAACAUCAACUACAUGUUAGUGGGUAUAACCUCAUCCUGGAGCAGGGCACCCUAUCGUCAGAUGGUAUCAUCUUUAAGGGGUUGUCUCAGCCAUGCCUUUAGAAUUACCUUUCAUUGCUUGUCAUGCUGGAAGCUUCUGAAUGUUGCAUUUUGUGAUAGAAACAGUGGGUACCAUGGUCAUGUGCUCACAUCUCCUUUGCGGUAAAGAAAAGGAUCACUCAUUAACAUCCACCAGAUAACAUUCUCCAUGAAAGCACCAAAUAAGGUUUGUCUUGGUCCAUUUUAUGCUGCUAUAACAGAACACCACAGACUGAGAAAUUUAUAAGGAAUAGAAGUUUAUUUGCCUCAUGUUUCUGGAGGCUGGGAAUUCCAAGAUCAAGGGGCUGCAUAGAUUGAGGUCCUUUUUGCUGACUCAUAACGUGGAAAGAGAGUGCACUGCAUAGAAGAAAGGAGGCCAAACUCAUUCUUUUAUCAUGAGCCUACUCCUGAAAUAACUCACUCUCAAGAUAAUGGCAUUAAUCCAUUCAUGAAGGCAGAAUACUCAUGAUGUAAUCACCUCUUAAAAGACUAACCAGAAUUGGCUACAGUUUCUUCAAGAAAAUACCCCAAUGGAAGAAAAAAAGGUGGAGGGAGAAACUGAAUGAAGAAAGGAUGAUUUGAAAUUACCAGAAAGUGGAACGUGGAAAAAACAGAGUAAAACUAGUUUGAGAAUAAAAUCUUAGGUUGUAACAUCUUCUGGGAAUUUAUUCUUUAAAUAUUGCUUUUAACUGGAUUCUUUGGUAAAUAGUAAAUGCAUUUUGGUUUUGAUUUAAGCAGCUCAUUCUUUUGUUUCUUCACUUCUCCAAUAAACUUGCUCUCACUUAAAAAAUGCCUUGUAGAACAACUCAUGAUAAUUAUUACUGUUGGGAAAUAGGAGAAACAUAUUGUAUUAGUCAGAAUUUUACAGAGAAACAGAACCAAUAGGAGAUAUCUAUCUAUCUAUCUAUCUAUCUAUCUAUCUAUCUAUCUAUCUACCUAUCUAUCAUCUAUCUAAAUAUAUGACUAUAGAUAUAGAUGAGGGGAUUUAUUAUAGGAAGUGGCUCAUAUGGUUACGGAGGCUAAGAAGUGCCAUGGCCUGCUAUCUGCAAACUGGAGAACCAUAAAUUCUGGUGGUGUGAUUCAGUGCAAGUCAAAAAAGGCCUGAGAAUCAGAGGGCUGUUGGGUAUAAAUCCAAAAGCCCAAAAACCACUUGUGUCAAUGUCCAAAGGUAGGAGAAAAUGAAUAUCUCAGCUCAAGCAGAGAAAGUAAACUUGCCCUUCCUCUGCCUUUUUGUUCUAUUCAGGCCCUCAAUGGAUUGAAUGAUGCCCACAGAUAUUUGUGAGAGCAGAUCUUCCUUACUCAGUCUACUGAUUUAAAUGCUAAUCUCUUCUAGAAACAGUCUCAUACUUGUACCCAGAAAUAAUAUUUAGCAGCUCUCUAGAUAUCCCUUAGCCUAGUCAAGUUGACACACAAAAGUAACCAUCACAGAUAUUUUAUUUGGCAAUUGUAUUAAAAUUAAACAAUUUUAUAUCCUCCCAAAAAGGAGAGGAAUAACUUUAGUGACUUUCUGUGUUUCAGAGUAUUGAGAAUCUAUACUUAAGGAAAUGGCUCUUAUUUAUAGGAAAUAGUUUGCUAUAUUUGAUCUUAAAACACCUAGCUUUGCAAACUGUUAAACCCAAACACUGUUGUCUCAAUCCGAAAAUGUGGAACAGUAACUCACAUUGGUAAAUUUUGGUUACACAUGUCAUUAAGGUAGUUACUUACCUUUAUGUGUCUGUUCAUUUAUCCUA